UACAGGGGGGGCAAGCGUUGUUCGGAAUUACUGGGCGUAAAGGGUUCGUAGGUGGCUUACUAAGUCAGACGUGAAAUCCCUCAGCUUAACUGGGGAACUGCGUCUGAUACUGGAAAGCUUGAGUGCAGGAGAGGAACGCGGAAUUCCAGGUGUAGCGGUGAAAUGCGUAGAUAUCUGGAGGAACACCGGUGGCGAAGGCGGCGUUCUGGACUGCAACUGACACCGAGGAACGAAAGCCAGGGGAGCAAACGGG
rnacentral:rRNA from 1 species